rnacentral:rRNA from 1 species
UACGUAGGUGGCGAGCGUUGUCCGGAAUUACUGGGUGUAAAGCGCGUGUAGGCGGGAGGCCAAGUCUGCGGUGAAAUCGCUCGGCUCAACUGGGCGGGGUCCGUGGAAACUGGUCACCUGGAGGACGGUAGAGGCGAGUGGAAUUCCCGGUGUAGUGGUGAAAUGCGUAGAGAUCGGGAGGAACACCAGUGGCGAAGGCGGCUCGCUGGGCCGGACCUGACGCUGAGACGCGAAGGCGUGGGG